AGUGAACGCUGGCGGUAGGCCUAACACAUGCAAGUCGAACGGCAGCACAGUAAGAGCUUGCUCUUACGGGUGGCGAGUGGCGGACGGGUGAGGAAUACAUCGGAAUCUACUUUUUCGUGGGGGAUAACGUAGGGAAACUUACGCUAAUACCGCAUACGACCUACGGGUGAAAGCAGGGGAUCUUCGGACCUUGCGCGAUUGAAUGAGCCGAUGUCGGAUUAGCUAGUUGGCGGGGUAAAGGCCCACCAAGGCGACUAUCCGUAGCUGGUCUGAGAGGAUGAUCACCCACACUGGAACUGAGACACGGUCCAUACCCCUACGGUAGGCCUCAGUGGGGAAUAUUGGACAAUGGGCGCAAGCCUUAUCCAGCCAUCCCGCGUGGGUGAAGAAGGCCUUCGGGUUGUAAAGCCCUUUUGUUGGGAAAGAAAAGCAGCAGGUUAAUACCCCGCUGUUCUGACGGUACCCAAAGAAUAAGCACCGGCUAACUUCGUG
rnacentral:rRNA from 1 species